AUCAAGUCUAAAGGAAAAUACUUUGAAUUUUAAUAAAGAAGGGUGCUCAGAGAGAAGCAUUUGCAUUUUCUGAAAACCAAGAUAGACACAGAACCUUUUGAAUAAAAUAUAAUUGAAUAUUCAAAUUUGAAUCUACAACUUAGUCCAUAAAUCAUUGUUUCAAUGCUCAGUGUUUAGUUUGUGAAAUCUUCUAUCCCUCACUUCAUUUUCCCUGUUGCUACUGGUAUUUUUACCAGCAUCUUAAGUCAAAGGGGAGACAAACACAGGGAGAAGAAAAUGAUGCAAUUACAAAAUUUGACGAGUGAAAAUUGUCU
rnacentral:lncRNA from 1 species